rnacentral:rRNA from 1 species
UACGGGGGGGGCAAGCGUUGUUCGGAAUUACUGGGCGUAAAGGGCGCGUAGGCGGUUCAUUAAGUUGGAUGUGAAAACUCGAGGCUUAACUUCGAGCUGUCGGCGGAAACCAUCUGGCUAGAGUCCGGAAGAGGAGAAUGGAAUUCCCGGUGUAGCGGUGAAAUGCGCAGAUAUCGGGAAGAACACCCGUGGCGAAGGCGGUUCUCUGGGACGGUACUGACGCUGAGACGCGAAAGCGUGGGGAGCGAACAGG